rnacentral:lncRNA from 10 species
AACUUAACAAGUUUUAAAAUUAUAAAAUAGGCCUCUCAGUGCCGCUUAAUCACACAGGUCCAGUGUGUGCUUGGUGUCUUUUCUGGGAGGCAGAGGAAGGCUCUCCUAAUCACAACAGACCUGCCCAGAAGGGCCUCUCUAUUUCUAGGAGUAUGAUAGCUUUUGGGGGGAAAAAAAAGAAAAUAAUGGAUGCUGCCGGGUGCGGUGGCUAAUGCCUGUAAUCCCAGCACUUUGGGAGGCUGAGGUGGGCAGAUCACGAGGUCAGGAGUUCAAGAUCACCAUGGCCAACAUGGUGAAACCCCGUCUCUACUAAAAAUACAAAAAUGAUUUAGGUGUGGUGGUGGGCGCCUGUAAUCCCAGCUACUCAGGAGGCUGAGGCAGGAGAAUCGCAAUUAUCAUGUAUCAAUAAAAAUUUUAUUAAACUAUCAUUCAUAGCAUCCAUUCUUUUCUUUCUUUUUUUUUUUUUGAGACAGA